GACGAACGCGGCGGCGUGCUUAACACAUGCAAGUCGAACGAAGAGCGAUGGAAGCUUGCUUCUAUCAAUCUUAGUGGCGAACGGGUGAGUAACGCGUAAUCAACCUGCCCUUCAGAGGGGGACAACAGUUGGAAACGACUGCUAAUACCGCAUACGAUCUAAACUCGGCAUCGAGGAUAGAUGAAAGGUGGCCUCUACAUGUAAGCUAUCACUGAAGGAGGGGAUUGCGUCUGAUUAGCUAGUUGGAGGGGUAACGGCCCACCAAGGCGAUGAUCAGUAGCCGGUCUGAGAGGAUGAACGGCCACAUUGGGACUGAGACACGGCCCAGACUCCUACGGGAGGCAGCAGUGGGGAAUCUUCCGCAAUGGACGAAAGUCUGACGGAGCAACGCCGCGUGAGUGAUGACGGCCUUCGGGUUGUAAAGCUCUGUUAAUCGGGACGAAAGGCCUUCUUGCGAAUAGUGAGAAGGAUUGACG
rnacentral:rRNA from 1 species